UACGGGGGGGGCAAGCGUUGUUCGGAAUUACUGGGCGUAAAGGGCUCGUAGGCGGCCAACUAAGUCAGACGUGAAAUCCCUCGGCUUAACCGGGGAACUGCGUCUGAUACUGGAUGGCUUGAGUUCGGGAGAGGGAUGUGGAAUUCCAGGUGUAGCGGUGAAAUGCGUAGAUAUCGGGAAGAACACCCGUGGCGAAGGCGGCUCUCUGGAACGCAACUGACGCUGAGACGCGAAAGCGUGGGGAGCAAACAGG
rnacentral:rRNA from 1 species